GGGUUGUGAGGUUAAGCGACUAAGCGUACACGGUGGAUGCCCUGGCAGUCAGAGGCGAUGAAGGACGUGCUAAUCUGCGAUAAGCGUCGGUAAGGUGAUAUGAACCGUUAUAACCGGCGAUUUCCGAAUGGGGAAACCCAGUGUGAUUCGUCACACUAUCAUUAACUGAAUCCAUAGGUUAAUGAGGCGAACCGGGGGAACUGAAACAUCUAAGUACCCCGAGGAAAAGAAAUCAACCGAGAUUCCCCCAGUAGCGGCGAGCGAACGGGGAGCAGCCCAGAGCCUGAAUCAGUGUGUGUGUUAGUGGAAGCGUCUGGAAAGGCGCGCGAUACAGGGUGACAGCCCCGUACAC
rnacentral:rRNA from 2 species